rnacentral:rRNA from 1 species
GACGAACGCUGGCGGCGUGCUUAACACAUGCAAGUCGAACGGAGUGGCGAACGGGUGAGUAACACGUGGGUGAUCUGCCUUGCACUUCGGGAUAAGCUUGGGAAACUGGGUCUAAUACCGGAUAGUGCAAGAUGAGCUCGCGGUCUAUCAGCUUGUUGGUGGGGUAAUGGCCGACGAAGGCGUCGACGGGUAGCCGGCCUGGGAGGGUGUACGGGCACAGUGGGACUGAGCUACGGCCCAGACUGCUACGGUACGCAGCAGGGGGGAAUAUUGCACAAUGAGCGGAAGCCUGAUGCAGCGACGCCGCGUGGGGAAUGAAGGGCUUCGGGUUGUAAACUCCUUUCGACAGGGACGCGGUACCUGUAUAAGAAGCACCGGCUAACUACGUGCCAGCAGCCGCGGUAAUAC